UGGGGAAUUUUGGACAAUGGGGGAAACCCUGAUCCAGCCAUCCCGCGUGUGCGAUGAAGGCCUUCGGGUUGUAAAGCACUUUUGGCAGGAAAGAAACGUCGCGGGUUAAUACCCCGCGAAACUGACGGUACCUGCAGAAUAAGCACCGGCUAACUACGUGCCAGCAGCCGCGGUAAUACGUAGGGUGCAAGCGUUAAUCGGAAUUACUGGGCGUAAAGCGUGCGCAGGCGGUUCGGAAAGAAAGAUGUGAAAUCCCAGAGCUUAACUUUGGAACUGCAUUUUUAACUACCGGGCUAGAGUGUGUCAGAGGGAGGUGGAAUUCCGCGUGUAGCAGUGAAAUGCGUAGAUAUGCGGAGGAACACCGAUGGCGAAGGCAGCCUCCUGGGAUAACACUGACGCUCAUGCACGAAAGCGUGGGGAGCAAACAGGAUUAGAUACCCUGGUAGUCCACGCCCUAAACGAUGUCAACUAGCUGUUGGGGCCUUCGGGCCUUGGUAGCGCGGCUAACGCGUGAAGUUGACCGCCUGGGGAGUACGGUC
rnacentral:rRNA from 1 species